UGGGGAAUAUUGCACAAUGGGCGCAAGCCUGAUGCAGCCAUGCCGCGUGUGUGAAGAAGGCCUUCGGGUUGUAAAGCACUUUCAGCGAGGAGGAAGGUGGUGAACUUAAUACGUUCAUCAAUUGACGUUACUCGCAGAAGAAGCACCGGCUAACUCCGUGCCAGCAGCCGCGGUAAUACGGAGGGUGCAAGCGUUAAUCGGAAUUACUGGGCGUAAAGCGCACGCAGGCGGUUUGUUAAGUCAGAUGUGAAAUCCCCGGGCUCAACCUGAGAACUGCAUUUGAAACUGGCAAGCUAGAGUCUCGUAGAGGGGGGUAGAAUUCCAGGUGUAGCGGUGAAAUGCGUAGAGAUCUGGAGGAAUACCGGUGGCGAAGGCGGCCCCCUGGACGAAGACUGACGCUCAGGUGCGAAAGCGUGGGGCAGCAAACAGGAUUAGAUACCCUGGUAGUCCACGCUGUAAACGAUGUCGAUUUUGGAGGUUGUGCCCUUGAGGCGUGGCUUCCGGAGCUAACGCGUAAAUCGACCGCCUGGGGAGUACGGCCGCAAGGUUAAAACUUAAAGGAAUUGACGGGGUCAUAGCUG
rnacentral:rRNA from 1 species